rnacentral:misc_RNA from 1 species
AACCUUAUGGACCUGCGGGCGUAUACCUGCGGAAGGAUCAUUAACCUUUCAAAUCAGGGUGCGGCGCGGCCCCCAAGGAGCGGAAACAAUCCUUGGGAGGUAUGCGGGGGCUUCGAGCCCCCCAUUUACGCACGCACGACUGCCAUCCUUACUUUACGAGCACCUUCUGUUCUCCCUCGGCGGGGCAACCUGCCGUUGGAACCGAAUAAACUCUUUUUGCAUCUAGCAUUACCUGUUCCG